GACGAACGCUGGCGGCGUGCUUAACACAUGCAAGUCGAACGGAAAGGCCCUGCUUUUGUGGGGUGCUCGAGUGGCGAACGGGUGAGUAACACGUGAGUAACCUGCCCUUGACUUUGGGAUAACUUCAGGAAACUGGGGCUAAUACCGGAUAGGAGCUCCUGCUGCAUGGUGGGGGUUGGAAAGUUUCGGCGGUUGAGGAUGGACUCGCGGCUUAUCAGCUUGUUGGUGGGGUAGCGGCUUACCCAGGCUUUGACGGGUAGCCGGCCUGGGAGGGUGACCGGCCACAUUGGGACAGGGAUAGGGCCAAGACUGCUACGGGGGGAAGGGGUGGGGAAUAUUGCACAAUGGGCGGAAGGCGGAAGGAGCAACGCCGGGUGCGGGAUGACGGCUUUCGGGUUGUAAACCGCUUUCGCCUGUGACGAAGCGUGAGGGAGGGAACUGGGUAAAGAGGCACGGGCAAACUACGG
rnacentral:rRNA from 1 species